rnacentral:lncRNA from 1 species
CCAUAAUUUUCUUAUUUAAUUUUGGCAUGUGACAUUAAAGGAAUCGAUGGAAAACAAAGAGAUAGAUAAGAAUCUUAAGGAAGAAGGACUCUUCCUCUUCUUAAUGCAUAAAUGAGGGUGGUGGCAUUUAUUUUGGAGUGAAAACUAGGGUGGUGUGGAGGAGUCCUUCCACACUUAAAACUUUUCUAAGAUAGGUAGGAG